UGGGGAAUAUUGGGCAAUGGGCGAAAGCCUGACCCAGCAACGCCGCGUGAAGGAAGAAGGCCCUCGGGUUGUAAACUUCUUUUACCAGGGACGAAGGACGUGACGGUACCCGGAGAAUAAGCAUCGGCUAACUCCGUGCCAGCAGCCGCGGUAAUACGGAGGAUGCGAGCGUUAUCCGGAUUUAUUGGGUUUAAAGGGUGCGCAGGCGGGCGUCUAAGUCAGCGGUGAAAGUUCCCGGCUCAACCGGGUCAGUGCCGAUGAUACUGGGGGCCUUGAAUGCGGUCGAGGCCGGCGGAAUGUGGCGUGUAGCGGUGAAAUGCAUAGAUAUGCCACAGAACACCGAUAGCGAAGGCAGCUGGCCGGGCCUGCAUUGACGCUGAGGCACGAAAGCGUGGGGAUCGAACAGGAUUAGAUACCCUGGUAGU
rnacentral:rRNA from 1 species